GUACUGAGCAUGUUAUAGUAGAAAGAAGACACAUUAUAGAAAUCUUAUACAUAAGAAUUUGGAUACCAAGAAAAAAAAUCUUUUCUCUAGUGAAACUAGAUCUGUAUGGAUAAUGGUUUGCUUUUAAUCUUUAACAAUACAGCCAAUCAACCUUACUGGUACAUCUGGUAACAGGUACAUCUCUUAUGACUAAAAUCACCAGUGUGUGUGUUUUGUAUCAAGGAUGUGCAUGUUGUUGGUUUUGAAAAAAUGUUUGAUGUGACUGCCAAGGCUUUUUACAAAUCUUUUGUAUCACAUACAACUCAAUUUACUUCUAUUGGCUGGAAAUAUUUAAAGCAUGACAGUGGCGUAGGUAAAUUACCAAAUAGUGGAUCUUAUGUUGGAUUGAUCAGCCCUGAUGAACUGACCUGACCAUUGUAAUUGAAACCAUAACUCAUGACCACUCUAUCUGUAUAGGUCCUGGUAUACCCUGGGAUGAUGUUCACCCACAACUUUUAACUUGAAAUCUUAAACGAAGUUUUGCUAAACUAACAAGCAUGAAUGUCUGGUACAGUAAGAUAGGGUUAAUGGUCAACCUGACAUUAUGGUUCAUUCAUCGGGACAGCUAAUGUUUGUGUCUGAUCAAGCAGUUCUCAAGUUAGGGCUUGAUGAAGUCUACAAACUGACCAUUAUAUCUACUGGACAAAAAAGGAUCUUAUAUGUAUAUUUUAAACCUGGUCAAUGCCUAUUUCUCCACUAUUGUCGACAUCUUGAGACAUCACCAUCGGCAGAAACCGAAGACGGCUGAUACAUUUGUGUGGGUGAAAAACUGAAGGCGUCGCUCGAAGACAGCUGAUACAUUUGUGUGGGUGAAAAACUCAAGGCUUCGCUCGAAGACAGCUGAUACAUUUGUGUGGGUGUAAAAUUCAAGGCGUCGUCUGAAGACAGAUGAUACAUCGUUUCCACGUGAGCGCUCGUCACCAACUUUUGACACGCUCUUGCAUUGUCGAGGUUUCACCUUACAUUGCUAUACAGAAGGUCCUCCAUUUAGACCUCUGUUCACUUAUGGUCAUUCUAAUUUUUCAGAGACUUAACAUAUUUGCAU